GUGGGGAAUAUUGGACAAUGGGCGAAAGCCUGAUCCAGCCAUGCCGCGUGUGUGAAGAAGGUCUUCGGAUUGUAAAGCACUUUAAGUUGGGAGGAAGGGCAGUAAAUUAAUACCUUGCUGUUUUGACGUUACCGACAGAAUAAGCACCGGCUAACUUCGUGCCAGCAGCCGCGGUAAUACGAAGGGUGCAAGCGUUAAUCGGAAUUACUGGGCGUAAAGCGCGCGUAGGUGGUUUUGUAAGUUGGAGGUGAAAUCCCCGGGCUCAACCUGGGAACUGCCUCCAAAACUGCAUGACUAGAGUACGGUAGAGGGUAGUGGAAUUUCCUGUGUAGCGGUGAAAUGCGUAGAUAUAGGAAGGAACACCAGUGGCGAAGGCGACUACCUGGACUGAUACUGACACUGAGGUGCGAAAGCGUGGGGAGCAAACAGGAUUAGAAACCCCAGUAGUCC
rnacentral:rRNA from 1 species